UAGUCUCUCAACCAAGAAUUUAUAAUGGCUGGAGAGAGAAACUAGUCUUUAUUGAAUAUAGCUUUUAAAUGUAACAUUUGAAAAUGGGUUAAUAAAAUAGAUAUUUUAUCAGUUUAAGGAGGAAUAACCUCUAUAUUUCUAAGGCAAGCUCGAUAUGGUUUAGGACGGUAAAGGGCAGAAAGGUGGUGUUGCCCAGCAAGAGGCGUAGCUAGGGAUCUAUUUUAGUGAGCCAUUCACAUGUAGGAGGAGAGGCAUCAGUCAUCAAAAAUCCACCACACGGACCUGUUCUCUGCUUGACUGCUCAUUCUCACUGACGUCUGGUUACAGGACACGUAGCACAGAGUGACCAUGUCUGAGGGGUAAGGGUCAUCUCGACUGACAUAAACACUCUCUUAAUGUGACAUUCACUUUGCAUAUCUGAUUUGCAGUAGGUAAUGAUGAAUGGUUCAGUAAUGUACAUAUGCUUAUGUUCACUUCUAUUUUUGUGUGUGACAUCACCCUU